GAAUUGCCUUUGAUACUGUUAUUCUUGAGUGUAGUUGAAGUGGGCGGAAUAUAGCAUGUAGCGGUGAAAUGCAUAGAUAUGCUAUAGAACACCAAUUGCGAAGGCAGCUCGCUAAACUAUAACUGACGCUGAGGCACGAAAGCGUGGGGAGCGAACAGGAUUAGAUACCCUGGUAGUCCACGCCGUAAACGAUGAACACUCGCUGUUGGCGAUACACAGUCAGCGGCUUAGCGAAAGCGUUAAGUGUUCCACCUGGGAAUUACGAUCGCAAGGUUGAAACUCAAAGGAAUUGACGGGGGCCCGCACAAGCGGAGGAGCAUGUGGUUUAAUUCGAUGAUACGCGAGGAACCUUACCUGGGCUUAAAUGCAUAUUGACGUACUGUGAAAGCA
rnacentral:rRNA from 1 species